rnacentral:rRNA from 1 species
CUCAGGACGAACGCUGGCGGCGUGCUUAACACAUGCAAGUCGAACGGAAAGGCCCUGCUUUUGUGGGGUGCUCGAGUGGCGAACGGGUGAGUAACACGUGAGUAACCUGCCCUUGACUUUGGGAUAACUUCAGGAAACUGGGGCUAAUACCGGAUAGGAGCUCCUGCUGCAUGGUGGGGGUUGGAAAGUUUCGGCGGUUGGGGAUGGACUCGCGGCUUAUCAGCUUGUUGGUGGGGUAGUGGCUUACCAAGGCUUUGACGGGUAGCCGGCCUGAGAGGGUGACCGGCCACAUUGGGACUGAGAUACGGCCCAGACUCCUACGGGAGGCAGCAGUGGGGAAUAUUGCACAAUGGGCGGAAGCCUGAUGCAGCAACGCCGCGUGCGGGAUGACGGCCUUCGGGUUGUAAACCGCUUUCGCCUGUGACGAAGCGUGAGUGACGGUAAUGGGUAAAGAAGCACCGGCUAACUACGUGUCAGCAGCCGCGGUGAUACGUAGGGUGCGAGCGUUGUCCGGAUUUAUUGGGCGUAAAGGGCUCGUAGGUGGUUGAUCGCGUCGGAAGUGUAAUCUUGGGGCUUAACCCUGAGCGUGCUUUCGAUACGGGUUGACUUGAGGAAGGUAGGGGAGAAUGGAAUUCCUGGUGGAGCGGUGGAAUGCGCAGAUAUCAGGAGGAACACCAGUGGCGAAGGCGGUUCUCUGGGCCUUUCCUGACGCUGAGGAGCGAAAGCGUGGGGAGCGAACAGGCUUAGAUACCCUGGUAGUCCACGCUGUAAACGGUGGGUACUAGGUGUGGGGUCCAUUCCACGGGUUCCGUGCCGUAGCUAACGCUUUAAGUACCCCGCCUGGGGAGUACGGCCGCAAGGCUAAAACUCAAAGGAAUUGACGGGGCGCCGCACAAGCGGCGGAGCAUGCGGAUUAAUUCGAUGCAACGCGUAGAACCUUACCUGGGUUUGACAUGGAUCGGGAGUGCUCAGAGAUGGGUGUGCCUCUUUUGGGGUCGGUUCACAGGUGGUGCAUGCCUGUCGUCAGCUCGUGUCGUGAGAUGUUGGGUUAAGUCCCACAACGAGCGCAACCCUUGUUCACUGUUGCCAGCACGUUAUGGUGGGGACUCAGUGGAGACCGCCGGGGUCAACUCGGAGGAAGGUGGGGAUGACGUCAAGUCUUCAUGCCCCUUAUGUCCAGGGCUUCACGCAUGCUACAAUGGCUGGUACAGAGAGUGGCGAGCCUGUGAGGGUGAGCGAAUCUCGGAAAGCCGGUCUCAGUUUGGAUUGGGGUCUGCAACUCGACCUCAUGAAGUCGGAGUCGCUAGUAAUCGCAGAUCAGCAACGGUGCGGUGAAUACGUUCCCGGGGCUUGUACACACCGCCCGUCAAGUCAUGAAAGUUGGUAACACCCGAAGCCGGUGGCCUAACCGUUGUGGGGGAGCCGUCGAAGGUGGGACA